rnacentral:pre_miRNA from 1 species
UUAGAUUGGCUAUAGAUGAAUUGGAGCUGGUAGUGGGCUGUACUAUUAGACUUGCUCUAAGAGCAGCAAGUUUAAUAGUAUAGCCAACUAUUAGCUUCAAAUCAUCUAUAGCUA